rnacentral:rRNA from 1 species
CGGGUCAGCGGCGGACGGGUGAGUAACGCGUAGGAAUCUAUCCUUGAAUGGGGGACAACCGUGGGAAACUACGGCUAAUACCGCAUGAUGCCUGAGGGCCAAAGACGAAAGUCGUUUGAGGAGGAGCCUGCGUCUGAUUAGGUAGUUGGUGGGGUAAAGGCCUACCCAAGCCUACGAUCAGUAGCUGGUCUGAGAGGAUGAUCAGCCACAUUGGGACUGAGACACGGCCCAAACUCCUACGGGAGGCAGCAGUGGGGAAUAUUGGACAAUGGGCGCAAGCCUGAUCCAGCAAUGCCGCGUGGGUGAAGAAGGUCUUCGGAUUGUAAAGCCCUUUUGGCGGGGACGAUGAUGACGGUACCCGCAGAAUAAGCUCCGGCUAACUUCGUG